rnacentral:rRNA from 1 species
CAGCUUGUUGGUGAGGUAAUGGCUCACCAAGGCGUCGACGGGUAGCCGGCCUGAGAGGGUGACCGGCCACACUGGGACUGAGACACGGCCCAGACUCCUACGGGAGGCAGCAGUGGGGAAUAUUGCACAAUGGGCGCAAGCCUGAUGCAGCAACGCCGCGUGAGGGAUGACGGCCUUCGGGUUGUAAACCUCUUUUAGCAGGGAAGAAGCGAAAGUGACGGUACCUGCAGAAAAAGCACCGGCUAACUACGUGCCAGCAGCCGCGGUAAUACGUAGGGUGCAAGCGUUAUCCGGAAUUAUUGGGCGUAAAGAGCUCGUAGGCGGUUUGUCGCGUCUGCUGUGAAAUCCGGAGGCUCAACCUCCGGUCUGCAGUGGGUACGGGCAGACUAGAGUGCGGUAGGGGAGAUUGGAAUUCCUGGUGUAGCGGUGGAAUGCGCAGAUAUCAGGAGGAACACCGAUGGCGAAGGCAGAUCUCUGGGCCGUUACUGACGCUGAGGAGCGAAAGGGUGGGGAGCAAACAGGCUUAGAUACCCUGGUAGUCCACCCCGU